rnacentral:rRNA from 1 species
CACGUAGGGUGCGAGCGUUGUCCGGAAUUAUUGGGCGUAAAGAGCUCGUAGGCGGUGUGUCGCGUCGGCCGUGAAAACUUGCAGCUUAACUGUGGGCGUGCGGUCGAUACGGGCAUCACUGGAGUUCGGCAGGGGAGACUGGAAUUCCUGGUGUAGCGGUGAAAUGCGUAGAUAUCGGGAGGAACACCUGAGGCGAAGGCGGGCUACUGGGCCGAUACUGACGCUGAUGCGCGAAAGCCAGGGGAGCAAACGGG